UUUUUUUUUUUUUUUUGAGCACUUACAUGUGUCAGGCACAGUGCCAGGCUACAUAACUGCCUCAUUUUGUUGAGGCAGUUGUGAUGUUCACAACAACUCUCUGAAGUGUGAACACUUACUAUUCCAUCUACAAGUGGAGAAUAAAGGGUUAGGGAUGUUAUGCUACUUGCUCAAGCUUAUAGAGCUAUUUAGAGGUAGGGCUGGAAUUUCAACCUAGAUCUGCCUGGCUUUCAAGGCUGGUUCUCCUAACCACUUUUCUAUAUUGUCCCAAGGGACAUGGUAAAUUUGGUAAAAUCAGUUUGGUAAAUUUGCACUGCACAGGCCCUUGGCAAUGUGUACAACACUUCCAGAAAGGUAAAGGGCCUUGCCUGGGGACACAUGGCCAACACCAAGAGUUCUCAUGUUUAAAACCCCACCCUGUAGUGGCUCACUAUUCUCAGGAAGGAGCUCUGAGAAGCCAUUCAGAAAGCAUGCAUAAGACUCAAAAGAUGAAUGUAUUUCAAAAAAUGAAUAUGCCUUGAAAGAGAAGAAGAACCAAUGUUCGUCUCCCCACAUCCUGUAGCCUUCUUUGAUAGAGGCCAAACAGUAAUUGUGGUGCUUCUUGUAGUCUCCACCCACCCUCGUGGCCAAAGGAAGAUUUUAAUCAGCUUUCAGGAGACUUGGAACAUAAAUGAUUCUAAUUGACUGUCAUAUUUCUAGUAUUAAAUUUUGCUGCUUGCCUAACCUCUGGCCUCUCCUUUAUUACUCUAAGGGAGACAAAAUCAUGCAGAAGAAAAAUAGAAAGGCUAGAAAUCAGACAUUUCUUACAUGAAAGAGAAGCAGGUAGAAUGACAAAGUGGGAAGACAUUUUGAGAUCCUGGAGUCCAGCACCUUCAAUUUAAAAAUGAAGUAGGAUCUCAGGUUAAGUCAUUUGCCCUGGACUACCCAGCCAGGUAGCAGCAGAUCAGAGACUUGAAGCCCAGGCUCGGCUGUGUGAGUGGUAUUGUUCGUGUUCUGUCACAGUGAGACCUGAUGCGAGGCUCAUUUAAAGGGGUCAGAGUAAUAGCUACAAAAACCUACAGCUUACAGAAACACAAGGGAAGAGGCCUAAGUUAGAUCUUUUAACAAGAGAAGGGGCCUAAGUUCAACAGAUCUUUUAGAAGAGGCAGAUGGAGUCCCUGGAGAAUGUGAUCUGUCCACCAUUCCAUAGCUCAUGCAGUAAGUUUUCCACGAAAGACUUCUGACAUAAUAUUUCAGCGUAACAGACAGGGAAGGCCAAAUGAUUAGGCUACACAAGACUUGACAGUUUGACUGGCGAAUAACUCUUAUGUAGGAAUACACACAGGCAAGAGUUUGUAGUGUCCUUAACAUAGACUUCUAAAUAAAGCUUACCUCUCCCCUCCUCUAUGCAUCACCUUGCAUUCCUGCUUUCCUCGCUCUUUUCAUCUUUUGUGGACCCUUUGGAUAAAGUACUUCCUGAACUCCUCAUUCCCCAUUCCCACCCUUCUUCUAUCCCAAUGGCUGGUGAGGUGGCUUCACAUCUUUAGGACCUGAUUCAAUACCUGCUUUCUCUGAGGUGGCCACCAUGCUCCACCAUCCCAUUUCCAUUCUCUGAGUCAAGCAGAAAUAGCAUCUUGGUUCUUGUAGAAUGGAACAGUGUGUAGGCAUGGCAAAAGGGAAUCAGCCUCCUUGGGGAAGUCAAGGAUGGUAAUGUAAUAAUGUCACUUGCAGCAGCUACCACUUGCCAUCAUAUGCUGGGCACCAGGCUAAGUA
rnacentral:lncRNA from 1 species